rnacentral:rRNA from 1 species
AGCAUAAUCAUUAGUUUUUUAAUUAAAAGCUCGUAUGAAGGUUGGACGAAGUAAAAUCUGUCUCUAUUUAAUUUAAAUUAGAAUUUAAUUUUUAAGUUAAAAAGCUUAAAUAUUUAUAAAAGACGAGAAGACCCUAUAGAGCUUUAUAAUUUAUUUAAUAGAAUUAAUUAAGAUUUAUUUAAGUUUUAUUAAUAUAAUUAUUUUAUUGGGGUAAUAGAAGAUUAAUAAAAUUCUUUUUUAUUAUUAACAUUUAUUUAUGAUAUUAAUGAUCCAUUUUUAGUGAUUAUAAGAUUAAGUUACCUUGGGAUAACAGCGUAAUUUUUUUAGAGAGUUCAUAUCGAUAAAAAAGUUUGCGACCUCGAUGUUGGAUUAAAGAUUAGUUUA